rnacentral:ncRNA from 1 species
UUAGAUGCAAUGACAGGGCAUGCAUGAUGGAGCGUUUUCAGAGAACUGGCGUAAGGUGCGAGCCAGUAACAGCAUUAUGCUAUCCACCCUCUGAGCAUGCGGUGAGGAGCCGCACGGUCCACGUCCGUUAUGCGUGUCAAGUGGACUGUUGGUAGUCAAGCAGGGUGGCAACGCGGGAACUAAAUUCCCGUCCCUAUC